UUUAAAGAGUGCGUAAUAGCUCACUGGUCGAGUGACUCUGCGCCGAAAAUGUACCGGGGCUAAACGUAUCACCGAAGCUAUGGAUGGCCACCGUCAGGUGGCUGUGGUAGGGGAGCGUUCCAAGGGCGUAGAAGCAUGAUCGUAAGGACAUGUGGAGCGCUUGGAAGUGAGAAUGCCGGUAUGAGUAGCGAAAAGAGGGGUGAGAAUCCCCUCCGUCGAAAGCCUAAGGUUUCCUGAGGAAGGCUCGUCCGCUCAGGGUCAGUCGGGACCUAAGCCGAGGCCGAAAGGCGUAGGCGAUGGCAAACAGGUUGAUAUUCCUGUACCACCACGUUUCCAUUUGAGUGAAGGGGGGACGCAGGAAGGUAGGGUAAGCGCACCGUUGGAUGUGUGCGUCGAAGCAGUGAGACUGACAAGUAGGCAAAUCCGCUUGUCGUAAGGUUGAGCUGUGACCGCGAGUGAACUAAAGUAGCGAAGUUCCCGAUCCUACACUGCCAAGAAAAGCCUCUAGCGAGGAAACUGGUGCCCGUACCGCAAACCGACACAGGUAGGCGGGAAGAGAAUUCUAAGACGCGCGGGAGAACUCUCGUUAAGGAACUCGGCAAAAUGACUCCGUAACUUCGGGAGAAGGAGUGCUCUUGCGGGUGAAUAGCCUGCGAGAGCCGCAGUGAACAGGCCCAAACGACUGUUUAUCAAAAACACAGGUCUCUGCGAAGCCGCAAGGCGAAGUAUAGGGGCUGACACCCGCCCGGUGCUGGAAGGUUAAGAGG
rnacentral:rRNA from 1 species